UGAUGUGAGGGCGAUCAGCUGCGACAUCUGUCACCCCAUUGAUCGCCAGGGUUGAUUCGGCUGAUCUGGCUGGCUAGGCGGGUGUCCCCUUCCUCCCUCACCGCUCCAUGUGCAUCCCUCCUGAAGCUGCACGCUCAGUCGAAGAGGACGACCAUCCCCGCUAGAGGAGGACCGGUCUUCGGUCAAGGGUAUACGAGUAGCUGCGCUCCCCUGCUAGAACCUCCAAACAAGCUCUCAAAAUCAAUGAAUCCAGUAGUUGGUUCUUUGAAAACAUCAACAAAAUUGACAGACCAUU
ensembl:misc_RNA 7SK 7SK RNA